rnacentral:rRNA from 1 species
GAUGAACGCUGGCGGCGUGCCUAAUACAUGCAAGUCGAGCGAACAGAUAAGGAGCUUGCUCCUUUGACGUUAGCGGCGGACGGGUGAGUAACACGUGGGUAACCUACCUAUAAGACUGGAAUAACUCCGGGAAACCGGGGCUAAUGCCGGAUAACAUUUAGAACCGCAUGGUUCUAAGGUAAAGAUGGUUUUUCUAACACUUAUAGAAGGACCCGCGCCGUAUUAGCUAGUUGGUAAGGUAACGGCUUACCAAGGCAACGAUACGUAGCCGACCUGAGAGGGUGAUCGGCCACACUGGAACUGAGACACGGUCCAGACUCCUACGGGAGGCAGCAGUAGGGAAUCUUCCGCAAAGGGCGAAAGCCUGACGGAGCAACGCCGCGUGAGUGAUGAAGGUCUUCGGAUCGUAAAACUCUGUUAUUAGGGAAGAACAAAUGUGUAAGUAACUGUGCACGUCUUGACGGUACCUAAUCAGAAAGCCACGGCUAACUACGUG